AUUGAACGCUGGCGGCAGGCCUAACACAUGCAAGUCGAGCGGUAGAGAGAAGCUUGCUUCUCUUGAGAGCGGCGGACGGGUGAGUAAUGCCUAGGAAUCUGCCUGGUAGUGGGGGAUAACGUUCGGAAACGGACGCUAAUACCGCAUACGGCCUACGGGAGAAAGCAGGGGACCUUCGGCCCUUGCGCUAUCAGAUGAGCCUAGGUCGGAUUAGCUAGUUGGUGAGGUAAUGGCUCACCAAGGCGACGAUCCGGAACUGGUCUGAGAGGAUGAUCAGUCACACUGGAACUGAGACACGGUCCAGACUCCUACGGGAGGCAGCAGUGGGGAAUAUUGGACAAUGGGCGAAAGCCUGAUCCAGCCAUGCCGCGUGUGUGAAGAAGGUCUUCGGAUUGUAAAGCACUUUAAGUUGGGAGGAAGGGUUGUAGAUUAAUACUCUGCAAUUUUGACGUUACCGACAGAAUAAGCACCGGCUAACUCUGUGCCAGCCGCCGCAGUAA
rnacentral:rRNA from 1 species